UUAUCUAACGAAGUUUCUGGUUUUUUUAAUAUCUUUCACUAUUAAACCGACAUCAUUUUCUCAAAUGUAAUUUAAACCGAUUUGAAAAUUUUACUUCAUAAAAGAAUUACAGGAUUACAAGAAAAAGAGAGAGGUAUUGACGAGAAGCGUAGAAUCAUAGAAUUUAAUAAGAAACCUCCUUUUUUUUUUAAUUCUUAACGUUUAAAAGCUUUGUUUAAACGUGUAUAAUAAAAUCGAUAAGAAUAGCAAAUAUUUCGUUAAAUAUUUUUCUCGGAAGGAUACUUUUAGUAUUCACUGAAUCUCAAAGAUAUUCUGUAAUAAAUGAAUGUCUUUAAUAAUGAUACACUAUAUAAAACUGUAAUAUUUAAUAUAUUUAAUAUAGUUACAUUAAACUUUUUCGUAAAACACAAACGGACGUGUAUUUCUUUAUCAUAAAUUUCAAAUUUAGCGGGGAUAUUGUGGUGUCUAAGUUUCGCAAAAGACCCGAUUAGUGGCGCUCGUGUCUACUCCUUAAAAAAAUGGCUGCGCCUAUGAUGCAUCUUUUUAACAUUAAGGUUAGAAAAAUGGUACAAAUGAAAAUAUUUAUAAAAACUUUAUACGUCAGUAAUCAUAUAUCCAUAGUAACUAGAUAUAUUCAAACAAGAAAAGAAAAUCUUUUGUUUACUUGAGUUAAAAUAUAAUUUUAUAAAUUUGGAUGUAAACAUUAUCAUUCUCAGUGUGUUUGAAACUCAUUCUAAUAAUUUAUCUUAUUUAUCCAUCAACACAUAUUGCAUUCAUAAAAUUGAAGAAAAUAUUCUAUAUCAAUGGGCAAAAGAUCACUCAUUUUUUUUGUCGAUGAGAGUAAUACCAUCAAAGCGAAGAAGAAAAGUAAUAGAACUAUGGAAAGUCUAAUGUUAACGUCACCUGCUAUAAACUUGUUUGUUAAGAAAACUAGAGAGAAGUAAUGGAACAAUAUAGUAGUAUCUUAUUCUGAUCUAGGCAUAGUAAUUACUUAAUUUUAUGAUUUAUUGAAUAUGGAUAAUCAUAAAUUAUUAUCUGAAAAAUAUAAAAGUAAUUAUGGCACAACGACAACUUUCUUACCCAAUGUGGAUCUUUUAUUAUUAUGCAGUACAAUGCCUAUUAAUAACACGGAGGAAGGCAAAAAGAAGAAUUGUUACUAUAUUCCAUUGCUAUAGCUACAUUUUGCCUAUUAUUUUAAAAUUAGUUGAAUUUAAAUAAGAGUAUAAUACACCGUGGCAAAAGAAAAUGCUUUUUGUAUUAACUAAAAUAAAAAUGUUGUUGUUAGAAUGAUUCAUUAAAAAUAAAUAACUUUAAUAUUCUUACUUCAGAGAAUACUUGGUGAGACGCUAUAAAAAAACCUCCAAUUGAGAGCGCACAUUCCAUUCUGCCUCUUACAAUCAUAAAUAACAGCAUUUUUUGAGAUUUUAUGGAAAGCAUAUAGAACGGAACUUGACAUCUGUACAGAAAUUUUUGAUUUGUAUACAAAAUACAUAAUAGUGAAUCGCUUAAUAAUUAGACUAUCUUUUAUAUAAAUUUUAUAAAUAUUUGUUAACUCUUUCGCUCCUGUACACUUCUACUAAAAUACCUUACAUAAAUUGUAAACUUUUUUAAAUGUGCUGUUUAAAGAUGAUAUUUAGUAGUUCUGUGUAUGUUAUAAAUUUUGAAUAAAGCUUUAAAUGACCUACGUUUA
rnacentral:lncRNA from 1 species